UACGAAGGGGGCUAGCGUUGUUCGGAAUCACUGGGCGUAAAGAGCGCGUAGGUGGUUUGGUAAGUCAGAGGUGAAAGCCUGGAGCUCAACUCCAGAACUGCCUUUGAAACUGCCAAGCUGGAGUCUCGGAGAGGAUAGUGGAAUUCCUGGUGUAGCGGUGAAAUGCUUAGAGAUCAGGAAGAACACCGGUGGCGAAAGCGUUCUGCUAGACCUGUACUGACACUGAGGGACGAAAGCUAGGGGAGCGAAUGGG
rnacentral:rRNA from 1 species